CCUCCCCACACCCACUCCCCAGGAACCGGCAGCCAUGUGGUCGGAAGGGGCCUGUGGCGCAAUGGCCCGGAAGCCAGUGACACCAUGUUCCCUUCCUAAGAACUGUUCAGCCCCUUGGGGAAGACGCUGCUGGGUACAGCUGAGGCCUGGCCACCCAGGCACUGAGACCAUAGGCGCUCCUACUAUCUCCCCAGGCCUGAAGGGGAGAGCGCCCGGGGAAGGGAUGCUUUGGCUCCCUUGAAUGAGGAAACUGAGAAGCUCAGCGCCCGGCUCUGGGCUGGAGAACCACAUCCGGCAGGAGAGCGUCCUGCCCCUCUCGGCGACUGCAGACCACCCUCCACCCUCGGGGGAAAGCUACACGCCUUUACUUUCCCGUCCCUGCAUUACCCUGGGUGGAAACAGUUAAGAAGAGGGGGCACCCCAGCCCGGGCUCUCGAGUCUGAAAGACCGUGCUCGGAGCAUGCAGCUAACCGAGGUGUGGUGAGCUGGCCCCAGGGCCCACGGCUGCCAACAGCAAAGAGGGCUUAGAUAGUCGUUAGCUCGGGCUGCCUUAACAACGGAGCACAGACCAGAAGUCUUAAACAACAGAAACGUAUGUUUGCGCCAUCCUGGAGCUAGAAGUCUAAGACUGAGGGGUCAGCAGGAUUGAUAAUAUCCUCAGCGUCUCUCCUUGGCUCGUAGAUGGCUGCCUUCUCGCUGUCUCCUCACAUGGCUGUCCCCCAGUCUGUGCGUCUGUCCUAAACUCCUCUUCAUAGAAGGACACCAGUCAUAUUGGAUUAGGGCCCCCCACCAUGACCUCAUUGUACCUUACCUCUUUGAGGACCCUAUCUCCAAAUGCAGCCUCGUUCUGGGGGACUGUGGGGUUUGGGCUUCAACACAAGAAUUAAAGGGAUAAAAUUCUGCCCAUAA